UGAUGUGGAUAAGGUUGUAAGACUUGCUGAAAUUUAUGCUGAAGAUUUCGAUAUUGGUCACAUUGCUUUGUUGCCAAGUCAACUUAGAGGCUUCAUUGGACGUGUUAGAAGAAGCCAAGAAUUUCUUGGAUGUACAGAACUUCCACAAUGUGCUGAAAUUAUGGUCAGGAAAGGAAUGCACCGAUCUUAUCCAUUGGUUUAUCGCCUUAUUGAGCUCACAUUGAUACUUCCGGUGGCAACAGCUUCAGUUGAGAGGGUCUUUUCAGCCAUGUCUAUUAUAAAGACAGAUUUGCGCAACAAAAUGGGUGAUGAAUGGCUAAAUGACUUGAUGAUAUGCUACACAGAGAAGGAGAUAUUUAGGAGCAUUAGUAAUGAGAAAAUUAUGAAACGGUUUGAAGAGAUGAAAGAACGUCGUAUGUUAAUUCCUCAAAAGAUAGUGAUCACUCCUGCAGAAGAAUGAUGUAUGUUGUAAUGGGACGGUCACAUGUCAUUAUCAUCUACUUCACUUGGUACGGACAAAUUCAAACCGUAACUUUUAUUCUUCUUCGAUGUAAUUUGAGUUACUCAUCUAUGUUUCAAUAUAAAAUUGCUUUAAAAUG